CAGAGAACCUAUGGGAAAGCUGUUUGAGAUCCAUGUCCCUUUGUUAGGUAUGUAUUUUGCUCGUACUUUAGUUUCACAAAUUUGAAUAAACUUAAGUAAAGAGAUUAAAGGGGAAAAGAAGCACUUAAAACUUGAUUUGAAAUGGUUCUCACUUUAUCACUGACUUAAUGACAAUGGGGAAAGUUUUCUGUGCUUCCCUACAUCCCCUUUUUUUUUUCUUUCCAUAUUUUUAAAAUGGUGCACUGUAACAUUUUAUUUAUUCUUCCACUGGUUUAAGUAACUAUACAGAAAACUGGGUUUACUAUUUUAACACGACUGUCAUCCCCCUUUUGUACCCUGCUUGUUUUGCUAGGACUUGAUUUGUUGUUUUGCAACUACAUUUAAUAAGUGAUGAAUGUCGGCAAGGUAUUUUGAGAUUAUGGGUCCACUGUUGCCUAUUCAGAAGCAAAAUUUACUGUUGAAGUCACUGAGAGUUUUGUCCUACUAAGUUCCUUAGGAUUAAUUUCUUUCUGUUGUUGUUGUUCAACAUGUAGCAAGAGGUUUUAGUGUUUGUCUAAAUACUCAGGCUUGGAAACAAGCCUUCUAAAUAUGGGUGGUCCCCAAGGUAUGAUUCUAACAGAGGAUAUGAAAAGGCCGGGCAGCAAGACUUCAUACCUCAGGGACAUACAAAGAUGAUAUGCUCUUACUAGUACCUUUCUGGGCUUUAGAAAGUUGCAUUAAGAAAGGAAAGGAAGACUUGAGAGAGAUGGAGGGUAGGUGGGGGGAAGAAGAUAAUCUAAUGCAUGUAGAACCUUAGGUUAUGAACCUCUUUGUGUUCAACUAGGGGAUGAUGUAAACUUUAAGCUUCAUGAGGAAGAUCUGGGUACAAUUCCUUACUUUUACAUGUACUUGGGCAAGUCAUAUAGGUCUAAAUACAUCUUCAUCUGUAUAGUGGUGAUUCUGGUGUUUUCUUCCUCUUCAGAAGAGAUAUGCUGUAGAUUAGUAUUUUUUUUUUUUAUGGGAGCCAGGGCAGUGCAGUAUGCAGGUGCAGAAAGCCUGUUGGCAUUGACUGUAAUUAGGGUAAAAUCCUACUUUCUUCAAAGGCAGGCAUCAUUUACCAAGCAUGUCAAACCCAGCAGCUUCUUCUGUCUCCAUUUUAGAAGAUGCAUGCAUUUAACUACAGAAUAUAUUCAUCAUAUCUCCCAGAGAAAUGAAUAAUACCAUGAGGAGCUAUUUAAUCAUGAGCAUGGAGAUUGCUCUGCAGAUUGCUGUACUCUGACAGUGCCAGUCAAGAUGGAAUAAGAAAAAUUAUGCUGGGAAACAAGGUGUCAGGUUUAUAGUUACUUAAAACCAGUAAACAUAGUCUGUACUUUCUUAACAACAGAGAAAUAUGUACAGAGGGAAGCAACAACAUCUGUUCUUAUUAACUAAAUUGAACAAUACAAAAUUAGAA